rnacentral:rRNA from 1 species
UACAGAGGUGGCAAGCGUUGUUCGGAAUUACUGGGCGUAAAGGGCUCGUAGGCGGCCAACUAAGUCAGACGUGAAAUCCCUCAGCUUAACUGGGGAACUGCGUCUGAUACUGGAUGGCUUGGAUUCGGGAGAGGAAUGCGGAAUUCCAGGUGUAGUGGUGAAAUGCGUAGAGAUCGGGAGGAAUACCUGUGGCGAAGGCGGCCUACUGGGCCGGACCUGACGCUGAGACGCGAAGGCGUGGGGAGCGAACGGG